UACGGGGGGGGCAAGCGUUGUUCGGAAUUACUGGGCGUAAAGGGCUCGUAGGCGGCCAACUAAGUCCGACGUGAAAUCCCCGGGCUCAACCUGGGAACUGCAUCCGAGACUGCAUUGCUAGAGUAUGGGAGAGGGAAGUGGAAUUUCAGGUGUAGCGGUGAAAUGCGUAGAUAUCUGAAGGAACAUCAGUGGCGAAAGCGACUUCCUGGACCAAUACUGACGCUCAUGUGCGAAAGCGUGGGGAGCAAACAGG
rnacentral:rRNA from 1 species